GAUGUUAAGUAGGCACUUGCAGGCAAAUUUGUAGCUUUAAUAUGAUUGACUGCUUUUUCCUACUUUACAUU
rfam:Aedes aegypti strain Liverpool supercont1.348 genomic scaffold, whole genome shotgun sequence.